rnacentral:rRNA from 1 species
UACGGAGGGGGCUAGCGUUGUUCGGAAUUACUGGGCGUAAAGCGCACGUAGGCGGCUUUGUAAGUCAGAGGUGAAAGCCCGGGGCUCAACUCCGGAAUUGCCUUUAAGACUGCAUCGCUAGAAUUGUGGAGAGGUAAGUGGAAUUCCGAGUGUAGAGGUGAAAUUCGUAGAUAUUCGGAAGAACACCAGUGGCGAAGGCGACUUACUGGACACAUAUUGACGCUGAGGUGCGAAAGCGUGGGGAGCAGA